UACGUAGGGGGCCGAGCGUUGUCCGGAGUUAUUGGGCGUAAAGCGCGCGCAGGCGGCCUCGCGCGCCCGACGUGAAAGCCCCCGGCUUAACCGGGGAGGGUCGUUGGGGACGGCGGGGCUUGAGGGCGGGAGAGGUCGAUGGAAUUCCCGGUGUAGUGGUGAAAUGCGUAGAGAUCGGGAGGAACACCUGUGGCGAAGGCGGCCGACUGGGCCGACCCUGACGCUGAGGCGCGAAGGCGUGGGGAGCGAACGGG
rnacentral:rRNA from 1 species